CAGUCGCCGCGGUAAUACGAAGGGUGCAAGCGUUACUCGGAAUUACUGGGCGUAAAGCGUGCGUAGGUGGUGGUUUAAGUCCGUUGUGAAAGCCCUGGGCUCAACCUGGGAAUCGCAGUGGAUACUGGGUCACUAGAGUGUGGUAGAGGAUAGUGGAAUUUCCGGUGUAGCAGUGAAAUGCGUAGAGAUCGGAAGGAACAUCUGUGGCGAAGGCGACUAUCUGGGCCAACACUGACACUGAGGCACGAAAGCGUGGGGAGCAAACAGGAUUAGAUACCCCAGUAGUCCCUGUCUCUUAUAC
rnacentral:rRNA from 1 species